rnacentral:lncRNA from 1 species
AUGAAAGCUGCUGCAGGUUGGAUAGCUCCAACUUCGUCGGUGUCCGGGCCCCCGGCUGCCCGGCCCACGCCGCACGCGGCUAAGUCCAGGGAACUCCCCCAAGCGCGCAGGGGGCCCUGCCGGGGCCGGCGCGGCGUCUGCGAGCCCGGGCCUGGCGGUUCUCGGCUCUGCGCUGCCCCCUCCUGGCCAGUUGCGGUGAUGCACCUGCAGAGCGGGGUUCGGCUUCCAGGUCCUGCUGGGAGCAACCGUCAAGCCGCAGUCGGAGCCCUGCCCAGGAGGGCCUGGUAAUGAAGUUACCCCUCACCAAGGAUACCGUCAGCACCCCUGCGCUGUGCUCAGCAGCUGCUGCUUCGGGGGGGCUCACCCCAAAACUGAAUGUGAGGAGGUCCCCGACCUACGGAGAAGCUGACCCUGCGGCUCCAGGAAUGACAGGAACGCCCCACCCAGAGUCACUGAUUAAAAACAAAGUAUUUUAAAGACACACAGAGAGAGGUCUUCCAUCCAUUUGUUCACUCUCCAAAGGGCCACAACAGGCAGACUUGGGCCGAGCUGAAGCCAGGAGCCAGGAGCCUCUUCCAGGUCUCCCACACGGGUUCAGGGGCCCAAGGACUUGGGCCAUAUUCUACUGCCUUCUCAGGCCAUAAUAGAGAGCUGGAUGAGAAGUGGUGCAGCUGGGACUUGAACCAGCGCUCCAAUACGGGAUGCAGGUGUCCAAAGCUGUGCUUAACCUACUAUGCCACAAGACCCACCCCUAGUCACCAAUUCUUAUUUGCCGUAUUUGGCUUCUCUCUUUCUCUCUCCAUAGCUCUGAGGUAGAUAUAAGUAGCUCUGUGGAUAUGCACACACGUGCACACACACAUACGUUUGUGUGUGGAACAGUUUGGAAGCUGCAGACUUGGUGACAUUUACCCCAUAAAUCCUUCAGCGAGCAUCUACUCAGAAUAGGAUCACUGUCCCAGAUCCCUGGGAUGCCGUCUCACACUCGAGAAAAGAAACAGUCAUUCAGUAAUGUCUAAUAAUCCGUCUAUAUUUGGUUUUUCUUUUUUUUUUUUUUUUUAAGAUUUUAUCUAUUUGUUUGAGAGCUAGAGUUACAGACAGAAGGAGAGACAGAGAGAAAGGUCUUUAGUCUGCUGAUUCACUCCCCAGAUGGCUGCAAUGACCAGAGCUUCGCUGAUCCAGAACCAGGAGCCAGAAGCCAGGAGCCCAGAGCUUCUUCCAGUUCUCCCAUGAAGGUACAGGGGUGUCGCUCCCCCUCUUCGUGGAGGAACGACACUAAACCCUGCCUAGG